rnacentral:rRNA from 1 species
GCUUUACUGUAGUUUGAAAUUGAAUUUGGGUUUAGUUCGCGCAGUAUAGGUGGGAGGCUAUGAAUACAUAUUUGCGGAUAUGUGUGAGCCAUCAGUGAGAUACCACUCUUAUUAAACUAGAAUUCUAACUUUGAUAGUCGUUAACCGGCCAAGAGACAGUUUCAGAUGGGCAGUUUGACUGGGGCGGUCGCCUCCUAAAAAGUAACGGAGGCGUGCAAAGGUUUCCUCAGACUGGUCGGAAAUCAGUCGCAGAGUGUAAAGGCAUAAGGAAGCUUGACUGCAAGACCUACAAGUCGAGCAGAGACGAAAGUCGGCCUUAGUGAUCCGACAGUGCUGAGUGGAAAGGCUGUCGCUCAACGGAUAAAAGUUA